rnacentral:rRNA from 1 species
AUGGAAAAACAUCUUCAAGUUCAACAACAACAACAGUUGAAGCUACCGUCGGGGUUCAGGUUUCACCCGACGGAUGUGGAGAUCAUUACCGCCUACCUAGUACCCAAGGUGCUAAAGAAACCCUUCGACACUAGGGAAGUUGGGGAGGUGGAUCUGAACAAACAUGACCCAUGGGAACUCCCCGAGAUGGCAAACAUGGGGGAGAAGGAGUGGUACUUCUUCUCCCAAAAGGACCACAAAUACCCCACUGGGAUACGGACCAACAGAGCCACAACCGCCGGCUACUGGAAGGCCACUGGAAAAGACAAGGAGAUCUUCCACCCGCCAACCAUGAGUCUCAUCGGCACGAAGAAGACACUAGUCUUCUACAAGGGCAGGGCACACAAGGGGGAGAAGACCAACUGGAUCAUGCAUGAGUACAGGCUCGAGAGAGGCAAGCAGCCGGCACCCAACCUUCCCACUGACAUCACCAACACAUCCACCAUUAAUGCAUCUUCCAAGGAGGAAUAUGUGGUUUGUAGGAUCUUCCAUAAGAGCAUUGGACUCAAGAAGGUGGUUAUGUCAUCGUUCGCCAUGCCCAUGCCCAUGGUAGUAGAGCGGCAGCAUGGCUUCCUCGAAUCCAUUACAUUGCCUCCCCUCAUGGACUACAAUGCAUCAUCAUCAUUGGCGCCACCGUUGUUAGUGACUGCAUCUUCUUUGUACCAGCUACAAGCCACCGGGGCUAGCUUGUCGAUGAUGGAAGGUGUGUUUCUCCCAAUGAUGAAUGGCCACUACUUUGGUAACCACCACCACCACCAAAUGAUGGCCGUCCCACCAAAGCCGUCGAUACCGUUCUACCACCACCAGCAGCAGGAGCAACAACAACACCAGAUGAUGCAGAUGAUGUCGAUGGAUAUGAUUGUAGACCAGGGCUUUAUGGUCAGGGUCGAGCCUAGGAGCGAACCAUCAUCCAUAGUGUUGCAGGAGGAUUUCCUAAUUGCGUUAAGCAAAAAUGACCCAGGCAACGACACCACAACAACAUCUGACGAGAUCAUGUCAAUGAAUAUGGGGAUGGAUGGCAUGUGGAAGUAUUGA